UACAUGGGGUGCAAACGUUGCUCGGAAUUAUUGGGCGUAAAGCGCACGUAGGCGGUUCGUUAAGUCGGAUGUGAAAGCCCUCGGCUCAACUGAGGAAGUGCACCCGAAACUGGCGAGCUUGAGUACGAAAGAGAUCGCGGAAUUCCCGGUGUAGAGGUGAAAUUCGUAGAUAUCGGGAGGAACACCGGUGGCGAAGGCGGCGAUCUGGGUCGAUACUGACGCUGAGGUGCGAAAGCGUGGGGAGCAAACAGG
rnacentral:rRNA from 1 species